rnacentral:rRNA from 1 species
UACAGAGGUCUCAAGCGUUGUUCGGAUUCAUUGGGUUUAAAGGGUGCGUAGGCGGCUUUGUAAGUCAGUGGUGAAAUAUGGCAGCUCAACUGUCAAGGUGCCAUUGAUACUGCAGAGCUUGAGUACAGAUGAGGUAGGCGGAAUUGACGGUGUAGCGGUGAAAUGCUUAGAUAUCGUCAAGAACUCCUAUAGCGAAGGCAGCUUACUAGGCUGUAACUGACGCUGAGGCACGAAAGUGUGGGGAUCAAACAGG